rnacentral:rRNA from 1 species
AAAGCUCGGCGUCUUCGGCGUCCGCUUUGUAAUCUCAAGAAGUGUUUUCCGCUUCGGACCAAGCCUAAGUCCCCUGGAAAGGGGCAUCAUAGAGGGUGAUAAUCCCGUACAUGGCUUGGAGCGCCCGAGGCUUUGUGAUACGCUUUCUAAGAGUCGAGUUGUUUGGGAAUGCAGCUCAAAAUGGGUGGUAAAUGCCAUCUAAGGCUAAAUAUUGGGGAGAGACCGAUAGCGAACAAGUACAGUGAUGGAAAGAUGAAAAGAACUUUGAAAAGAGAGUUAAACAGUACGUGAAAUUGCCAAAAGGGAAGGGUAGGAGGUCAGAGAUGCGGCCUGGGAUUCAGCCUUGCUUUUGCUUGGUGUUUUUCCCAGAUUGCAGGCCAACGUCGGUUUUGGGCACUGGAGAAGGGUAGGAGGAACGUGGCACCCCUCGGGGUGUGUUAUAGCCUCCUACUGGAUACAGCGACCGAGACCGAGGACAGCAGCGUACUCGCAAGAGCGGGCCUUCGGGCACCUUUACGCUUAGGGCGUUGGCAUAAUGGCCCUCUACCACCCGUCUGAAACCCCGGGACC